AAGGAGGAAGCUGAAAAUCCUUUCCAAGAGUAGGCA
rfam:Flavobacterium sp. Leaf359 contig_3, whole genome shotgun sequence.